GGGUAGGGAAGGAGGGUAAAAGUGUCUUUGUUCAAUAGCAUUUAUGGACUUUAGUCCAUUUUAGUCCAUGGAUCCAAACAGCCCAGCAGGACUAAAUUUUAACUAAAUUUUAGGAGCUAAAGUUUAUGAGUUAAAAUUUAGCCCAUGAACUACUGAUCCAAACACCACCUUAAAAUGCACUUAAAAUGCACUUGUAUGGGGAGAGGGAGUAUCUUGGACAUUUGGU
rnacentral:lncRNA from 1 species